CAAUAGCGUAUAUUAAAGUUGUUGCGGUUAAAAAGCUCGUAGUUGGAUUUCAGUCGAGGACGACCGGUCCUUCACAGGAACCUGGUUUGGCCGAGACAUUUCUUGGUGGUUGUGGCAGCGCUUGAUUGCGCUUCACAAGCCCCAAGUUCUUUACUUUGAGGAAAUUAGAGUGUUCCAAGCAGGCAUUUGCCUUGAAUAUAUUAGCAUGGAAUAAUAAAAUAAGACAUUAGUUCUGUUUUGUUGGUUUUAGGAAUUGAUGUAAUGAUUAAUAGGGAUGGCCGGGGGCAUUCGUACUUAACUGUCAGAGGUGGAAUUCUUGGAUUUGUUAAAGACGACCUACUGCGAAAGCAUUUGCCAAGAAUGUUUUCAUUGA
rnacentral:rRNA from 1 species